CCUACGGGGGGCAGCAGUGAGGAAUAUUGGUCAAUGGGCGGGAGCCUGAACCAGCCAAGUCGCGUGAAGGAAGAAGGUACUUAGUAUUGUAAACUUCUUUUGCCGGGGAACAAAGGCGGAGACGCGUCUACGGAUGAGUGUAUCCGAAGAAAAAGCAUGGGCUAACUCCGUGCCAGCAGCCGCGGUAAUACGGAGGAUGCGAGCGUUAGCGGGGUUUAUUGGGGUUAAAGGGUGUGCAGGCGGGAGAUCAAGUCAGCGGGAAAAUGUCGGGGCUAAACCCCGGCCGGCCGUUGAAACUGGUUUUCUAGAGUUGGAGAGAAGUAUGCGGAAUUCGUGGUGUAGCGGUGAAAUGCAUAGAUAUCACGAAGAACUCCGAUUGCGAAGGCAGCAUACCGGCUCCAUACUGACGCUGAGGCACGAAGGCGUGGGGAUCGAACAGGAUUAGAUACCCGAGUAGUC
rnacentral:rRNA from 1 species